AUGAAUCCACUAAUUGCUGCUGCUUCUGUUAUUGCUGCUGGAUUGGCCGUAAGCCUUGCUUCUAUUGGACCUGGAGUUGGUCAAGGUACUACUGCAGGACAAGCUGUAGAAGGUAUUGCGAGACAGCCAGAAGCAGAAGGUAAAAUACGAGGUACUUUAUUGCUUAGUCGAGGUCUUCUAAAGACUUCCUUUAGAAGAUAUGCUCACCUUCUUAUUUCCCGUCCUUAG
rnacentral:rRNA from 1 species